rnacentral:rRNA from 1 species
UGGGUGGUACCCUGAUCCAGCCAUGCCGCGUGUGUGAAGAAGGCCUUAUGGUUGUAAAGCACUUUAAGCGAGGAGGAGGCUCUUUUGGUUAAUACCCAAGAUGAGUGGACGUUACUCGCAGAAUAAGCACCGGCUAACUCUGUGCCAGCAGCCGCGGUAAUACAGAGGGUGCGAGCGUUAAUCGGAUUUACUGGGCGUAAAGCGUGCGUAGGCGGCUUUUUAAGUCGGAUGUGAAAUCCCCGAGCUUAACUUGGGAAUUGCAUUCGAUACUGGGAAGCUAGAGUAUGGGAGAGGAUGGUAGAAUUCCAGGUGUAGCGGUGAAAUGCGUAGAGAUCUGGAGGAAUACCGAUGGCGAAGGCAGCCAUCUGGCCUAAUACUGACGCUGAGGUACGAAAGCAUGGGGAGCAAACAGGAUUAGAUACCCUGGUAGUCCAUGCCGUAAACGAUGUCUACUAGCCGUUGGGGUCUUUGAGACUUUAGUGGCGCAGCUAACGCGAUAAGUAGACCCGCC